CCCAGAUGGUGCUUCUACAGUGUAUCCGUCGACGGCGGCUGCUCGAGGUAGCCGGGCACGUCGUCGUCAUCCCCCACAGCAUCAACAAUCUCCAAAGUUGAAAGUGUGCCCUGCAGACCCCGAGACCGAUGCUGCCUCUGUGAUGGACUACGUCACCGACGAAUCUUCUUCCUUUACAGCAGAGCUUCCAGGCAAGCCCCCCUUUGAUCAUCCCGAUAUCGCCCAUUCCUUUCUCUCAUGCUUGCAUUAGAUUUUGCUACUGUUAUUGUAUGCCCCUAUUCUGAUGCAUAGCCUGCUUUUGUAUCUGUUAUUGUACCUUACCUGCUUAUCCUAAACUGCUCAGUAUAGGUUGGUUAGUGAUCCA